AGAGUUUGAUUAUGGCUCAGGAUGAACGCUAGCGGCAGGCCUAAUACAUGCAAGUCGAACGGGAUUGCCUCCUUCGGGAGGCAUGAGAGUGGCGCACGGGUGCGCAACGCGUAUGCAACCAACCCCCGACAGGCGGAUAGCCGGUGGAAACGCCGGAUAAUACGCCAUGGUUCCGUGGGAGGGCAUCCUCCUGGGGAUAAAGCCGAGAGGCGGUCGGGGACGGGCAUGCGUCCCAUUAGAUGGUAGGCGGGGUGACGGCCCACCUAGUCCGCGAUGGGUAGGGGAUCUGAGAGGACGGUCCCCCACACUGGUACUGAGACACGGACCAGACUCCUGCGGGAGGCAGCAGUAAGGGAUAUUGGUCAAUGGGGGCAACCCUGAACCAGCCAUGCCGCCGUGAGGGAAUGAGGCCCUACGGGUCGUGAACCUCUUUUAUUCGGGGACAAGGACGCGGUCGCGAACCGUGUUUGAGGGUACCGAAGGAAUAAGCAUCGGCUAACUCCGUGCCAGCAGCUGC
rnacentral:rRNA from 1 species